rnacentral:lncRNA from 1 species
AUCAAAGGGAAACCUGCCGUCUCUUUCAGGAAUCCACAAAUGCAGGUGGAUUUCCACACUGGGACUGAUGAGAACUUAGACAUCGCCUUUCAUUUUUGAGUGUCCUGUGGCCAAGCUGUGAAGAUAAACAGCCAUCAAGAUGGGAGCUGAAACUGUGAGGUGGAAUCCUCCGAAAUGCCCUGUGCCGAUGGCCAACCAUCUGUCCUGCACGCCCGGUACUGUAGAAUGAGGACAGGGUCAAGAUCAGUUUACACGCCACUUUGCUCCAGAUGGAGAAUUGGCUCUGACUUCACCCACAGGUAUCAUUUCUACCUAUGCCAUUAUUAUUUGAAUUUUUGUGUCACUAAAUAGUUAAAAUAUGCAUAUGUGUAAUUAUAGUCCAUCCAAUAUAACUCUUUCUCUCACUCUCAAACCAGAACAACUUUCUAGUUUCUUUACACUCCUUCCAGAGGUAAAAUAUGACUGUACAAGUACAUUUACUAUCUAUUCAUUUUAUGUAUAUUUUUCAUUUCUUUUUAAACAAAUGGUGUUAUAAAU